ACGUCAUGGUAGGCAAAAAGCUGCUGGUGGCCGAGGAGGGCGGGCUGAACCCUCCUCGCCCACCAGUUGCGCGCGGGAAACGCAAACAUGCCGACCAGUUGUUGUGCGCUGAAUUGUACUAACCGGAAGGAUAAAGGCAGUAGAAAGAAGUUUUUUUAGAAUCCCUGCGGAACCAGGACGAAGGGCUGCAUGGCUUAGAGCCUUAAAAAGGUCAGAUUUUGAGCAGGGAAAGAAAAACCCGACCGCGGCGUGGACACCACGAGGCCACGAGAGAGUGUGCAGCGACCAUUUCAUCUCAGGUAUAUGCGUGCAGCAAAAAGGCUGCGGGUGUCAUCAGAGAAUGAAGCCCCACCUACAUCACUAAAUGAUGAAGAAAUGAUCGCUGACCCUCCUCCUGAAAGUGUA